GACGAACGCUGGCGGCGUGCCUAAUACAUGCAAGUUGAGCGCUGAAGGUUGGUACUUGUACCAACUGGAUUAGCAGCGAACGGGUGAGUAACGCGUGGGGAAUCUGCCUUUGAGCGUGGGACAACAUUUGGAAACGAAUGCUAAUACCGCAUAAAAACUUUAAACACAAGUUUUAAGUUUGAAAGAUGCAAUUGCAUCACUCAAAGAUGAUCCCGCGUUGUAUUAGCUAGUUGGUGAGGUAAAGGCUCACCAAGGCGAUGAUACAUAGCCGACCUGAGAGGGUGAUCGGCCACAUUGGGAAGGAGACACGGCCCAAAAUCCUACGGGAGGCCGCAGUAGGGAAUCUUCGGCAAUGGACGAAAGUCUGAACGAGCAACGCCGCGUGAGUGAAGAAGGUUUUCGGAUCGUAAAACUCUGUUGGUAGAGAAGAACGUUGGUGAGAGUGGAAAGCUCAUCAAGUGACGGUAACUAACCAGAAAGGGACGGCUAACUACGUG
rnacentral:rRNA from 1 species